rnacentral:rRNA from 1 species
UACGAAGGGGGCUAGCGUUGUUCGGAUUUACUGGGCGUAAAGCGCACGUAGGCGGGUCGUUAAGUCAGGGGUGAAAUCCCGGAGCUCAACUCCGGAACUGCCUUUGAUACUGGCGACCUUGAGGCUGGAAGAGGUUAGUGGAAUUCCCAGUGUAGAGGUGAAAUGCGUAGAUAUCAUUUGGAACGCCAAUGGUGAAAACAGGUAGCUGGGAGUGUGCUGACACUGAGACACGAAAGCCAGGGGAGCGAACGGG